GACGAACGCUGGCGGCGUGCCUAAUACAUGCAAGUCGAGCGGACUGAUUAAGAGCUUGCUCUUAUGACGUUAGCGGCGGACGGGUGAGUAACACGUGGGCAACCUGCCCUGUAGAUCGGGAUAACACCGAGAAAUCGGUGCUAAUACCGGGUAAUAUCUGAGAUCACAUGAUCUUAGGUUAAAAGAUGGCUCCGGCUAUCACUACAGGAUGGGCCCGCGGCGCAUUAGCUAGUUGGUAAGGUAAUGGCUUACCAAGGCGACGAUGCGUAGCCGACCUGAGAGGGUGAUCGGCCACACUGGGACUGAGACACGGCCCAGACUCCUACGGGAGGCAGCAGUAGGGAAUCUUCCGCAAUGGACGAAAGUCUGACGGAGCAACGCCGCGUGAGUGAUGAAGGGGUUCGGCCCGUAAAGCGCUGUUGUUAGGGAAGAAACAGUACCGAACGAACUAGGUCGGUACCUUGACGGUACCUAACCAGAAAGCCACGGCUAACUACGUG
rnacentral:rRNA from 1 species